GGGUUUGUAGCUCAGCCGGUUAGAGCACACGCUUGAUAAGCGUGGGGUCGGAGGCUCAAGUCCUCCCAGACCCACCA
rnacentral:tRNA from 1 species